rnacentral:rRNA from 1 species
GGGUUGUGAGGUUAAGCGACUAAGCGUACACGGUGGAUGCCCUGGCAGUCAGAGGCGAUGAAGGACGUGCUAAUCUGCGAAAAGCGUCGGUAAGGUGAUAUGAACCGUUAUAACCGGCGAUGUCCGAAUGGGGAAACCCAGUGCAAUUCGUUGCACUAUCGUUAACUGAAUACAUAGGUUAACGAGGCGAACCGGGGGAACUGAAACAUCUAAGUACCCCGAGGAAAAGAAAUCAACCGAGAUUCCCCCAGUAGCGGCGAGCGAACGGGGAGCAGCCCAGAGUCUGAAUCAGCUUGUGUGUUAGUGGAACGGUCUGGAAAGUCCGACGGUACAGGGUGAUAGUCCCGUACACCAAAAUGCACAGGCUGUGAACUCGAAGAGUAGGGCGGGACACGUGGUAUCCUGUCUGAAUAUGGGGGGACCAUCCUCCAAGGCUAAAUACUCCUGACUGACCGAUAGUGAACCAGUACCGUGAGGGAAAGGCGAAAAGAACCCCGGCGAGGGGAGUGAAAAAGAACCUGAAACCGUGUACGUACAAGCAGUGGGAGCACCUUCGGGUGUGACUGCGUACCUUUUGUAUAAUGGGUCAGCGACUUAUAUUCUGUAGCAAGGUUAACCGUAUAGGGGAGCCGCAGGGAAACCGAGUCUUAACUGGGCGUUAAGUUGCAGGGUAUAGACCCGAAACCCGGUGAUCUAGCCAUGGGCAGGUUGAAGGUUGGGUAACACUAACUGGAGGACCGAACCGACUAAUGUUGAAAAAUUAGCGGAUGACUUGUGGCUGGGGGUGAAAGGCCAAUCAAACCGGGAGAUAGCUGGUUCUCCCCGAAAGCUAUUUAGGUAGCGCCUCGUGAACUCAUCUUCGGGGGUAGAGCACUGUUUCGGCUAGGGGGUCAUCCCGACUUACCAACCCGAUGCAAACUACGAAUACCGAAGAAUGUUAUCACGGGAGACACACGGCGGGUGCUAACGUCCGUCGUGAAGAGGGAAACAACCCAGACCGCCAGCUAAGGUCCCAAAGUCAUGGUUAAGUGGGAAACGAUGUGGGAAGGCACAGACAGCCAGGAUGUUGGCUUAGAAGCAGCCAUCAUUUAAAGAAAGCGUAAUAGCUCACUGGUCGAGUCGGCCUGCGCGGAAGAUGUAACGGGGCUAAACCAUGCACCGAAGCUGCGGCAGCGACACUAUGUGUUGUUGGGUAGGGGAGCGUUCUGUAAGCCUGCGAAGGUGGCCUGUGAGGGUUGCUGGAGGUAUCAGAAGUGCGAAUGCUGACAUAAGUAACGAUAAAGCGGGUGAAAAGCCCGCUCGCCGGAAGACCAAGGGUUCCUGUCCAACGUUAAUCGGGGCAGGGUGAGUCGACCCCUAAGGCGAGGCCGAAAGGCGUAGUCGAUGGGAAACAGGUUAAUAUUCCUGUACUUGGUGUUACUGCGAAGGGGGGACGGAGAAGGCUAUGUUAGCCGGGCGACGGUUGUCCCGGUUUAAGCAUGUAGGCUGGUUGUCCAGGCAAAUCCGGAUAAUCAAGGCUGAGGUGUGAUGACGAGGCACUACGGUGCUGAAGUAACAAAUGCCCUGCUUCCAGGAAAAGCCUCUAAGCAUCAGGUAACAUCAAAUCGUACCCCAAACCGACACAGGUGGUCAGGUAGAGAAUACCAAGGCGCUUGAGAGAACUCGGGUGAAGGAACUAGGCAAAAUGGUGCCGUAACUUCGGGAGAAGGCACGCUGGUGUGUAGGUGAAGCCCCUGCGGGUGGAGCUGAGACCAGUCGAAGAUACCAGCUGGCUGCAACUGUUUAUUAAAAACACAGCACUGUGCAAACACGAAAGUGGACGUAUACGGUGUGACGCCUGCCCGGUGCCGGAAGGUUAAUUGAUGGGGUUAUCCGUAAGGAGAAGCUCUUGAUCGAAGCCCCGGUAAACGGCGGCCGUAACUAUAACGGUCCUAAGGUAGCGAAAUUCCUUGUCGGGU